rnacentral:rRNA from 1 species
UACAGAGGGUGCAAACGUUGUUCGGAAUUACUGGGCGUAAAGCGAGUGUAGGCGGUUCGAUAAGUCGGAUGUGAAAGCCCCGGGCUCAACCCGGGAAGUGCACUCGAUACUGUCGAGCUAGAGUGUCGGAGAGGUUGGUGGAAUUCUCGGUGUAGAGGUGAAAUUCGUAGAUAUCGAGAGGAACAUCGGUGGCGAAGGCGGCCAGCUGGACGAAUACUGACGCUGAGACUCGAAAGCGUGGGGAGCAAACAGG